rnacentral:tRNA from 1 species
UCCCUGGUGGCUCAGAUGGUAAAGAAUCCACCUGCAAUGUGGGAGACCUGGGUUCGAUCCUGGGUAGGGAA